rnacentral:piRNA from 1 species
UGGGAAGUUGGGGGUGCUGUUCAGGCUU